rnacentral:rRNA from 1 species
GCUCCAAUAGCGUAUAUUAAAGUUGUUGCAGUUAAAAAGCUCGUAGUUGAAUUUCUGGUGGGAGAUAGUGGUUCUACCUUUGGUAGAUACUUACUGUUCUCCGGCCAUCCUUGGGUGGAGCCAGUCUGGCAUUAAGUUGUCGGGCUGGGGAUGCCAUCGUUUACUGUGAAAAAAUUAGAGUGUUCAAAGCAGGCUUAUGC